rnacentral:lncRNA from 1 species
AGAUAUAAUAUAGAUGCAACUGCAUGCAACCAAGCUGAAAAAUAAUUUAUUUGGUGUGAGGAUUGAGAUUUUUGGCAGUAUAACAAAACUCUCUGUUGAUGAUAUUUUUGUGUGUAUUUUAAUUACAAAAGCAAUCGUCAAGAGCACUCGUCAAGUUCCGAAAGAAAACGAGUUAAAACGGAGAUUUUACGCGAUCUUUACUUUUCACUUAAAGUGAAUAGUAACCUGGGUUUCCGGAGAGGCCGAUGAGUAGAGUUGGCUUUUGGCGCGUAUCGGACUCCGUUCAUAGCGAUCCAAUUGCUCGUUUUCAAUGUUUCAGCUAUCCUGGAAGCAAUGGUGCUAAGGAUUUCAGGUUUGACGCACGGAUUUCAAAAAAACUAGAAAUACAUGUAUUUAAUGUAUUUGUGCGUGGUUUUUGCAUUUCGGAGAGAGAAUGGGUUUCGUCGCGAAUCCAUGACCAAACCAGGGGAAACAAAAUUGUGGAUUGGUUGUCUCUGUCGUGCUGAUCGCACUGGUGCGAUCCGUUCGCAAAUCUGACGGACGAAUCUCCUGAUAUCGCACGUUGAUCGAUAAGGGGUCAUUAGUGGGAAAACGGUAAUUUUGCGAAAAGCUCGACAUUUUCUGUACCGUUUUGCGUGAAAUCGAAUGUGCAUGUGUGAUCGCGCGUUUUACUCGCGCUGUGAGGGACUUAGAUUAAAAUACUGAGUUUUAGAGGGCUUUUGCGCAAUUGGAGCUCUAUGUAUAUAAAGUCCAUCUAGGGUUUGCACCAUGGAAGGCUUCGUUUGGUUUGGGUAUAAGCAAGAACUAGUUAUACCGGAGAUAGGUACAAGUAUGGGUUUUCGUAGGAACAAAGGUUAUUUUUUUGUUUGGAUGAAAUCGUGAGUAUACGUUGGAACUAGAAAAAUUGUGUUUGUAUGGUUUUUGAGAAUAAGAUGAAUAGUUGGUAGUUAUAAAUAGAAAAUAAUAAUAUAUUAUUCCUAUAAUUGAAUUUUAAACUUAUAAUUUUAAAAUUAAAAUUUUAACUUUUAAAUUUUAAAAUUAGAAAUUAAAAUUUUAAAUUUUAAUAUUCAAAAUUUUAAUUUUAAAUAUCAAAUUUUUAAUUUCAGACCAAAUUUAAAUUUGAAAGAUAUAAAAUAACAAAUUUAAAAUUUAAAAACUAAAAAUAUCAAAUUUAAAAUUUAAAAAUUUAAAAUAUCAAAUUUAAACUUUAAUAAAAUUUAAAAUUUUAAUUUAUUAAUUAUAAUUAUAAAAUUAUAAAUUUUAAGAAUUUAUAUUUAUAUUUAAAAUAAAAAUCUCUCUCUCUCUCUCAAGUGGGUUGGAACAAGCUUGGGAACCGGGUUGUAUCUGGUACAACCCGGUAU